UCGAGCCACGUGCGGGGAAACCAGCACGCGUGGUUCCUAGAGGGGAAAGGAGCAGUAAUGCUCCCGACCUACUCGAC
rfam:Archeaon Loki Lokiarch_contig000348, whole genome shotgun sequence.